GGGAAUGUGGCUUAGUGGUAGAGUGCUUGCCUAGCAUGCACGAAGCCCUGGGUUCAAUUCCUCAGUACCA
rfam:Dipodomys ordii contig_60848, whole genome shotgun sequence.